AAUAGUGAAUUUCGUAAUCUGGAAUAAGAAAUACAAUUUUGAACGUUAAAUUUUCACAAAAGAUACAGCAAAAGUAAUUUCUAACAGAGAACUGGAAAAUUUUCACAAACUUAAAGAAAAUUUCAAGGUAAACUUAAUUUUUCUUCAAUCGACAGUUGUGAUGAUUUGCAAGCAAGGUAGAUUUAAACGAAGAUGAAAUAAAAUACAGGUGAAUUAAGUAAGCAAUUGUGGCAUUUUUCGGAGAAACACGAAACACGUUUAACUACAGCUAUAAAGCCGUCUUUGAAGAGCGACUGAAACAACUAUUAAAAUAUGUAUGGAUCUCCAACAAGAAUUUCGAAUUUUCCAUUUCCAUACGAUCGGUCUACUUAAAAGCACACGAGACUGUCUCAAUGAUUGAUAAGUCUGGAUUGCCGUAUGUCAUACGCUAAAGAGGAGCACGCCUCGAAAGCUUUCUCCAGAGGUUUGCCAUAGUCGAAUAAGUCAGCCACACAAUCUCCGAGGGCUUAUGGAACUGAAGUCACGAAAGUAUGGUGUUCUCACCAAGGAAACAUUAUUGGCACAACUUCGAUUCAUUUUCGGCACAAUAUCAUCGCGAAGAGCAAUGGAAGGAGAAGCCGAGUGAAUCGUGAAUGAGCCGUAUUUGUUAAA